UAAAGUAAACAGGCGCAGGCGUUACCCACACGUCAAAUAAGCUCGUCCAAAUAUGCUUGCAGGCUUUUCAACAUGUGCAAAAUAAACGUCUGCAAGCGGUCCUGCACACUUCAAGUUAACGCCAACAGCUGCUAAAUAUACACCUGCACACGCUAACUUAACGAGUUCCUUUAAUAUGCUAAUUUCCCUAGCUCCUCAUUUCAACCAGAUUUCAGUUUGAAGGAACUUCCUUUUCCACUGCAAGCAGAGUUUGAACCUUUACAAGGUAACGGUUUUGUCUUUGAAAUUUGUUGUUACUGAAUCGUAAAGUUUAUCAGCUAGUUUACAGUGGAAGGAUCUGUUUCUCAUCACUGGCAAUACAAUUCAGCUAACAUUAAUCUAGCACCAGGAUCAGCAGUACUUAGCAUCAGCUAAGUCAUAUUUUGCUAGCUAAUUUAGCUAACCGUAGCUUCGAACGGUCAUACUACUAGCAGCAGUGAAUGGCACCGUCAUGUGUUUUAUUAAAAGCCCUGCUGAAAAAAAACAUGUAAACUACAACAGCCACGGAAACACAUUGGACUGUGUUAAUACUAUCAAGAAGGGAACCAUGAAGAGGAUAUUGGAGUGGGCAAGGGGGGGGGGGGGCUGAUAAAGCACCAGAGAAGACCUGAUUCAUCAAGUAUCAAUUGGCAUGCAUGCACAAGACAAGGCAAAAUGUCUUCAGCCACCAUAGGAAGGAGAGCCGCUUCUUACCGUCUCCACUGCAGCCCAGUCGAUAACGAUA